GAGGGUAUAGCUCAGUGGUAAAGCACAUGCUUAGCAUGCACAAAGUCCUGGGUUCAGUCCCCAGUAACUCCA
rnacentral:tRNA from 1 species